rnacentral:rRNA from 1 species
CUACGGGUUGCUGCAGUGGGGAAUAUUGGACAAUGGGGGAAACCCUGAUCCAGCAAUGCCGCGUGUGUGAAGGAGGCCUGCGGGUUGUAAAGCACUUUCGGUUGGGAGGACUGCUUCUAGCACUAAUAUUGUUGGAAGUUGACGUUACCUUCAGAAGAAGCACCGGCUAACUCCGUGCCAGCAGCCGCGGUAACACGGAGGGUGCAAGCGUUAAUCGGAAUUACUGGGCGUAAAGCGCGCGUAGGCGGCUAGAUCAGUCGGGUGUGAAAGCCCCGGGCUUAACCUGGGAACUGCAUCCGAUACUGUCUAGCUUGAGUACAGGAGAGGAGAGUGGAAUUCCACAUGUAGCGGUGAAAUGCGUAGAUAUGUGGAGGAACACCAAUGGCGAAGGCAGCUCUCUGGCCUGAUACUGACGCUGAGGUGCGAAAGCGUGGGGAGCAAACAGGAUUAGAUACCCCGGUAGUC